AACGUAGGUGGCGAGCGUUAUCCGGAUUUACUGGGCGUAAAGGGUGUGCAGGCUGCCCCUCAAGUGGUGUAUGAAAGGGCUCGGCUCAACCGGGCUAGGUUAUGCCAGACUGAGGGGCUAGAGGGCGAGAGCGGGACGUGGAAUUCCGGGUGUAGUGGUGAAAUGCGUAGAUAUCAGGAGGAAUACCGAUGGCGAAGGCAGGUCUGCUGGGCUAUAACUGACGCUCAUGCACGAAAGCGUGGGGAGCAAACAGG
rnacentral:rRNA from 1 species